GGCGUGACAAGGCGGCGCUGAGCUCGGGAGCCGCAUGCCUCCUCUGCCGCUCCUUCUUUCUUUCUCCCCCAACUCCUCUCUUGCACGUCGUCGUCUUGCCGCCCACGCAGCAAAGAGGUCGAGGAAGAGGCGGGAGUCGGGUCAAUGGAUCUGUCGCACGAGGAUGCGGCACUCCCUGUUCCAUCUAGAUCAACGGGCGCAGAGGGAGGUGGAAGAAGAGCCACGACCUCCGAGCAGGAGGCUGUCGCCUAGCACGCAUCUGACUGUGGCUAUUUUAUCCAUGAGCUGGAGGAUAAGAGAAGUGCAUCUCUAAAAUUCAGAGUUUUGAACCUAAAGAGACGCAUCUAGACAAUGGUUGCAUGAGUGGUUCCAGUGUCAUAUACGCCAACAUGGUUGGAGAUUUGGGAUCGGAUGCUGCGCCAAGAAUGAGGGACCAAGGUGCUGAACUAACAGCAGGGGCAGAAUGAUUCUUCAGGAUGAAUCAGAAACUGAAGAUGAUGAUCCCAUGGACACAGAAGAAGCUUCCUCUGUCCUCAUCGCUGCACUGCAGUCUUUCAGCCAAGCUCUGGUGUAUGACGACGAAUAAAAAGAUACCGUGAGUCCGUGACAGAGGUAGAUGUCUUCUUGCGUCCUACCCUAGAUGACAGGGGCUCUCUCAUCAGCAAAAUAGCUACUCUGGAUACGCAGAUGAUGAUCGCAGGAGACUGUACCUUAUGGAUAAGUAAAUGACUCUGAGGUCUACAUGUUAAGUAUAGAAAGAAAAACCUGACGACGACAAGUGUACUGUCGGGAGCUUUGCUGCCACUUCUUUGCCAGCCGGAGUGGCCUGUUUUUAGUGAUGAUCAUGGUGUACAUGCGUGUAUAUGUUGUGUUCUGAUAGACUGUACUACAAGAUUUUCUUGGAAUUGGUACUUCUGUUUUUGUAUGCUAUGAAGAGCGUAUGUGUAUGCUGGUUCCGUGUA